rnacentral:rRNA from 1 species
UACGUAGGGGGCAAGCGUUAUCCGGAUUUAUUGGGUUUAAAGGGAGCGUAGGCGGAUGUUUAAGUCAGUUGUGAAAGUUUAAGGCUCAACCUUGAAAUUGCAGUUGAUACUGGAUAUCUUGAGUACAUUGAAUGUGGGCGGAAUUCGUGGUGUAGCGGUGAAAUGCUUAGAUAUCACGAAGAACUCCAAUUGCGAAGGCAGCUCACAGUAAUGUAACUGACGCUGAUGCUCGAAAGUGUGGGUAUCAAACAGGAUUAGAUACCCUGGUAGUCCACACAGUAAACGAUGAAUACUCGCUGUUUGCGAUAUACAGUAAGCGGCCAAGCGAAAGCGUUAAGUAUUCCACCUGGGGAGUACGCCGGCAACGGUGAA